rnacentral:rRNA from 1 species
AAGAUGGCGACCGGCGCACGGGUGAGUAACACGUAUCCAACCUGCCGAUAACUCUGGAAUAGCCUUUCGAAAGAAAGAUUAAUACCGGAUGGCAUACGAAUAUCGCAUGAUAUUUUUAUUAAAGAAUUUCGGUUAUCGAUGGGGAUGCGUUCCAUUAGUUUGUUGGCGGGGUAACGGCCCACCAAGACACGAUGGAUAGGGGUUCUGAGAGGAAGGUCCCCCACAUUGGAACUGAGACACGGUCCAA